rnacentral:rRNA from 1 species
GAUGAACGCUGGCGGCGUGCCUAAUACAUGCAAGUCGAGCGAACAGACGAGGAGCUUGCUCCUCUGACGUUAGCGGCGGACGGGUGAGUAACACGUGGAUAACCUACCUAUAAGACUGGGAUAACUUCGGGAAACAGGAGCUAAUACCGGCUCAUAUAUUGAACCGCAUGGUUCAAUAGUGAAAGACGGUUUUGCUGUCACUUAUAGAUGGAUCCGCGCCGCAUUAGCUAGUUGGUAAGGUAACGGCUUACCAAGGCAACGAUGCGUAGCCGACCUGAGAGGGUGAUCGGCCACACUGGAACUGAGACACGGUCCAGACUCCUACGGGAGGCAGCAGUAGGGAAUCUUCCGCAAUGGGCGAAAGCCUGACGGAGCAACGCCGCGUGAGUGAUGAAGGUCUUCGGAUCGUAAAACUCUGUUAUUAGGGAAGAACAAAUGUGUAAGUAACUAUGCACGUCUUGACGGUACCUAAUCAGAAAGCCACGGCUAACUACGUG